rnacentral:ncRNA from 1 species
GUUCUGGGGUUGCGAUCACCCCACGAGGCGACAUGCUGAAGAAUCGCGUCCGGUAAAGCCGAUCAACGGAGGGACGCGUCAUG